AGUCGAACGCAUCGCAAGAUGAGUGGCAGACGGGUGAGUAACGCGUGGGAAUCUACCCAACCCUACGGAAUAGCUCCGGGAAACUGGAAUUAAUACCGUAUACGCCCUUCGGGGGAAAGAUUUAUCGGGGAUGGAUGAGCCCGCGUUGGAUUAGCUAGUUGGUGGGGUAAAGGCUUACCAAGGCGACGAUCCAUAGCUGGUCUGAGAGGAUGAUCAGCCACAUUGGGACUGAGACACGGCCCAAACUCCUACGGGAGGCAGCAGUGGGGAAUAUUGGACAAUGGGCGCAAGCCUGAUCCAGCCAUGCCGCGUGAGUGAUGAAGGUCUUAGGAUUGUAAAGCUCUUUCACCGGAGAAGAUAAUGACGGUAUCCGGAGAAGAAGCCCCGGCUAACUUCGUGCCAGCAGCCGCGGUAAU
rnacentral:rRNA from 1 species